rnacentral:rRNA from 1 species
GACAGAGGUGCCAAGCGUUAGGCGGAAUCACUGGGCUUAAAGCGUGUGUAGGCGGAUCGUUAAGUGCUUUGUGAAAUCCAACGGCUCAACCGUGGAAUUGCUCGGCAUACUGGCGAUCUUGAGCCAUCUAGGGGUCGCUGGAACAAACGGUGGAGCGGUGAAAUGCGUAGAUAUCGUUUGGAACGCCAAUGGUGAAAACAGGCGACUGGGGAUGUGCUGACGCUGAGACACGAAAGCCAGGGGAGCAAACGGG